GAUGUAGUGCUUGCUGGGGUCUGUGCCUGGCAGGGAAGGGGGACAUGAUAUGUUUGUUCCAGGGGUCUGUGGGUACAGCAACGUCCUGCCCUGCUCCCCAGGUCCAGAGGGGUCCUGUAGCCUCAUAACAAGGAUCUGCAAUGGGUGCUUCUGGGGAAAGGUGACGGGUUCCAGACCAGCCACUUUGCAGGAUGUUGUGAGAAUUAACAGCAGCCUCAGAAAUCACUCAUCUCUUCCAAAAAGCAGGGGCUGCCCGAUCCUCAUUAGGAACUCCCACUGACAUCUCCUCAUCCCCCCAGUCCCGGAGUCUUUGACCCUGAGAUACACGACUGCCUCUUUCUUACCAACAACAUAGUCCCCGAAGCCGAUGGUGCUGAGAGUGAUGAAGGCAAAGUAGAAACCCUCAGUGAAACUCCAGCCCUCCACGUGGCUGAAGACCAUGGGCGGGAAGACGAGAAUGACCAGAGUCCCCAGGGUCAGGAACAGAGCCAGGCCCAGGACCUGCAAUAGCUGGAGGAAAGGAUUUGAAGCUCCGCAGUGACCAUGGAGAUGCGCCAUGUUGACCUGCUGUCAGCAGGAGGCACCCAGCUGUCAGCUCCUUCUGGAUGUAUGGCGGCUACAGAGAACGGCCUGGCUCAAGGGCAUGCCUUCUCAGGAAGUUCUGGUCUUCCAGCCUGCUGCAGAGCUCCUCAGGGGCGGGCCGUCUUUGCCCCGCCCGCAUCGCAUUAACCUUUCCCUCUGCCCACUCCUGUUCUUCCACCGGUGCCUACCUAAUGCCCGCUCGCCACACUCCAUCUCAGUGUCGACCUCUGAAGGAUCAACCUGCAACAGGUUCUGUCUCAGCAGGGCCUCGGGGAGGGAGGGGCCCUACCUGGAAGCGUCUGGGCUGGUCCUCCCACCUCUCGAGGGUGGUCAGGUGGGCACGCAGCCCUGUGCCCAGGUGGUUGAGGAAGAUCACGUUGAGUGGGAUACCCACCAGGGCAUAGAAGACACAGAAGACCUGGCCUGCGUCUGUGCUGGGUGCCAGAUUCCCAUAUCCUGCAGGGGAGGAGGAGUGUGUAAAUGUGGGGAAGAGGGAGUUCAGAACUGCUUCCCUCACAGACUCUAGCAGAGGGCGGUGGUCUUAUACCACCUCUGCAGGGAGGAGGGAAAGUUCCUGUGAUCUCCUGAACACGCUUCCCACUCUCUGCUAGAAUGAUCUCUGUUUACAAGACUCCUACUUGUCUUUCAAGGCUUGUCUGAAAUGACACUGCCUCUAGGAAGACCUCCUGACUGCCGCCCUUUUCCUCCCUACUAGGCGUGAUUCCCCACAGUGCUUUGUGUCAUUCUUAUCUAAUUGUCUACUUUGCCUUGUAUUAUUAAAAAAAAAUCCUUACCAGAGGAUAUGUUCACUGAUUCUAAGAAAGAGGAAGGAAGAGAGAGAAAUGUAAAUGUGAGAGAGAAACAUCCAUCAGCUGCCUCUAGAACGCACCCCAGCUGAGGGUCAAACCUGUAACCUAGGCCUAUGCCCUGACCGGAAUCAAACCUACAACCCCCUGGUGAACAGGAUGAUUCUCCAACAGCCCGGGCCACCUGGUCAGGCAUGUAUUAUUGUUUUUGGUGUGUUUAUCUUAUUCCUCUUUGUGGGAGUGGAAACUCCUUGAGGGCUGAGUCUGAUUCGAGUUUGCAUGUACCCUCCCACCCCUGCUCCUUCCUCUGCCUCCUGUGUCACCAGGGCUCAGAGAAGGCAUUGGACUUAACUGGCCUUCAUUCGAUGGAUGGGGGUUUCCUUGAGGGCGGUGGAGUGGGUUGUCUGGCUGAGGGGUGUAGCAGACACUCUCAGCGCCCUGUCCCCUUGGGACACCUGGUGUAUUGCCCACAGCUCUGUGCACAGCUGCUGCACACAGAGAAGACUUCCCACCCCAGGUCCCCACAUCUCUCUGCACCUGGGAGAUUUUUCUGGCUGCAGGUCUGUGGGCAGGUUCAAAAUGAUGGAGAGUUAAUACAUCCAGGAUUAGCUCUCAACCAGGCGGGACAGGAGUUAGGAGACAAAUGCCCCUGUGUCUUCACCCCUCACAGGGACCAUUUGGAGGACGUGCUCUGCCUAGCCUCUCAGAGGGUCCCCAGUGGGCAAGAGCCCAGUUGCCCUGCCCAGGAACCUGCUCACUGAUGCAAACUUCAUUGCUUUUUCUCCCUGUUUCAUUUUCCCACUUCUCUACUGCUGCUUCCCGGAACUGUCUCCUAGAUAAACCACAUCCGUGUUUCAGCAUCUGCUUUUGGGUAACCCAAACCUAGAGAGGGAAAGCCCCUGUUCUUCUUCGCCCCGCCCAUUACCUAUGGUGGUGACAACUGUGCCUGCAAAGAAGAAACUGCUGCCGAAGUCCCAGUUGCUGCGGUUGGUGGAGUUGCCUUUGGGGUUGACGCCCUUCACCCAGGCUUCCAUGAUGACCUAGGGGAUGGCAGGAAGAGGGGGCCGAACACACCAGCGGUUGGCUAAGUUCUCAGCAGGUGCUUCCGUUGUCACCUCACUUAGUGAUGUUCUUAGAAAGUCUCUUUUCCCCUUCAUGGAAAAGGAAACUAAGGUUCAGAGUGGCUCCUUGCCCAAGGUCACUGGAUUUCAAAUGCACCGUCUGUCCUCUGUCCAGGACAGACUGCAGCGUGGGCUGUAAGCAUGAGCUGGUGGACGGGAAUGGGCCUAAGGAGGCAGAAGAUGCUUAAGGAAUGGACCAGGUGGGAGAGCCUGCCUGGGGCCAAUAGGGUAAGGUGCAAAUGGGUUGUUACGGCAAUGGGAAGAUUUCGGGCUGGAUGUUCUUGGAAGGGUUUAACUUGGGAACACAGGGGUUAGGGUCCAUUGGGAAGGCAAGGGGCUGCCUUUCCAUGGGGCUGACGGUUCCCUGUGCUUCCAGUGAGCUGGUAGCCUUGCUCUUUGCUGCCCCCCAGUGAUCGUUGGCCCAGGCCUACAAGAGAAAUUCCAUCAGAGGCCAGGGCAAAGGUCUGCAUGUGUGUUGCUGUGUUGCAGGUGUAUGCAUGCUUUAUGUGUAUGUUGAAUGCUUUGUGUGUGUGUGUCUUAAGUGUGUGUUUACAUAACCUGAACCUGUCCCUGUAGAUUCAAGCCAAGACCCUCUGCCCCUGGGCUCAGCUCUCUUGGAUAUGGGCAGGGCUCCCUCCCCAUCUGCUCCCUGAUCCAAAGGCAGGCAAGAGUCAGUGGGGGAGGGGGCAGCUCCGGCCUCUCGUUCCCAUGGGAACCGUUUCCCCACUGAGCUCUGGCCAGGGUCGGAUGGUCCCCUUGGGCCAGGCCGGUGAGGGGUCCUGACACAGGCUGUCUGCUUCUUCUCACUUUGGCAGAAUUGGCUUCUUCACAUGUGGACUUUGGCCUCCCUCUCUUUCCCACACACCCAGUCAGACCAGGAUGGAACAUUCUGGAGCACACCCUCUCCCUGGAGACCUUCCCCCUUGGGAGCCACACUUGCCUGGAUCCCGACUGUUCCCCACCCUGACGUUCUCCAUUCUGCUGAGGAGGGGCCUCGAUGUCAUCGAGCGUGCUGAUUGGGGCACCCCUCGGGGACCUUCUGCCCUUCUCUAAGAACCCAUGGUGGGGAAAGUCAGACUCUGGUCCUGUGAACUUCGGCUUCAUUUCCUGAUGGAGUCCGCCCUUCAUACUGCUUACAGUAUUGUUUAUAGCUUUUUCCCUUGUGAUUUGAACAGUAAUGUGUGUUCUGGAAUCUCGUCCCAGAAUCCUGCUCUUCAGCUAGACAUCCUCGGGCAAGUGAGGUCCCUCCUAAGGGGCUGAGGACCUAAGGAUGUCCUGGCUGCCCCGGGGAGGCCCUGGGGUGGGGUGGGGUUAACCAGUGGCACCUCCCUCAGGGCUGCAGCCAAGCCUCCUUUUACAGAGCUUCCCAUCUCAGCCAGCAGUCCUUCCCACUCCCUCUGGGUUUUGUCUCUGACUCAGGGCCGAGGGAGAAGGAGGUGCCAAGGCCUCCAGGGCCCAACCCUUAUCCGCACCCCACACCUCCCGGAGUCUUGAGCAACUUCUGAAUCCUUCUCAGUCCUGAUACAGGCCAGCCGUUUUCCAUCCUGAGUGGGCAUCGGCAUUCCUGACUCAGUGGGUCUGGCAUUUCUAACGAGCUCCCAGGUGAUUGGUGCUGAAGCAGCUGGUCUCGGGGGCCACACUCUGAGCACUGCUGCUGCUCUAGGUUGUAUCCUGCCUGGUGCUUGUGCUCCUUUGUGUGGUGAAGAGCAGCAGCCUGGGUGUGAGUUCUGUCUCGGCCACGAACGGUGCAGCCUUGGCCAGCACAUGCCACCCUCGGUGCCUCAGUGCCCUCAUACAAACUUGAGAUGGCGAUAAUGUAGGUGAUUAUGAAAAAACCCCUAAGUCCCAGGUGCCAGAUCAUGACCAGCGUAGCCCUGUCAUGGGGACCCUGUUCCCCACUGUUUAAGGCACAUUGUAAAUGCUCAACAAAUACCAGUGAUCAUUGUGAUGACCUUGCUCUUGGCUUGUUUUUUUUGAGGUGGGUGUCGUCAUUCACUCCAGCCCCUAGUCUCGAAUGCAUUUACCUUCCCUGACAGCACCCAGGUUUUGCCUUAUUUCUUGGAGGGAUCAUUCUGGGGCCCCAAAAGUUUGUGCAGGGAAGCAGAAAGGGCCCAGGCAGGAGUGACCCGCUCUGUUAUCAAAGGGAGUUUCCCAUGGGUGUGGGACUGGUGGAGCUCAGUUGCCCUGGCCUUGCUCACCAAGCCCAGCUCCAGGUGGAACCAGGGUGGGGACCGCCACUGUGGUGGCUCCUCAUGGCCUUUAUCUGAGUCUGCUACCCACGGCCAUGCCCGAGUGUGGUCAGCAUGGGGAUGCAAGCUGGGGAGAGGGUGGAAGGAACAGCGGCCUGGGGUAGGGGUCGGGGA